GUAUAUGAGACUUUCAUCUCGUACAGCUCAAGCAAAAACACCCAAAUACUAGUUGCAACGGAUAUGGAAUAGAAAGUUUGAAAUUUAUUAAGUUCUGAUCCCAUCUUCUCUGGAAAAUCCGAAAGCUCUUCUUUGUGGCGAUAAUACCAAAAUAUCAAGUUGGCGCAGUCGUCUUUAUCUUUAUUUUGAUACUUAUGGGCCUCUUGAAUUCUCUUGUUCCCUAUUUCUUUAUAGAAUUUGUGGAAUAUGGCUUUUAUUAUUUGUUUUCUUUAUUAUUGAUAGGAAUUCUCUUGUUAAGACCCUAUGAAUCAA
rnacentral:misc_RNA from 1 species